UCGCAGUACUCAAAACAACAAAUAAAGCUUAAAAAAUUAUAAAAAAUAAUAUUCGAUUAUCCAAAAUUCCUAGUCAGAUUCCCAAUAAGAGUGUAGCUUUUAAAAGUUCAGUGGAAAAAGUCAAAAUUUGUUUGCACGCAGAUAAUAUUAUAGAGCAAUACCUUUGCUGAAUGCUCCAGAAAAACCCUAGAGAACGUACCACGAUUUAUCGUCGAAACUCCGAUCCUAAGUAGUUGCUAUGCUUUUCUGGUGUACAAAUAGUAACGCAUACACAAAAAUAUAUAUAUACACACACACACAUACACAAAUAUGGUCAUACACACCUAGUUUUGUUUCUAGAAUGCUCUGAGAACACCCGAUCUUGAAACUCUGAUCCAAGCUUGUCAUGCGGAUGCUGAUAAUCUAAUAACAAAAGAACACGAACACAAUUAGUAACCUAUUGCAGAAUGCUCCAGCAUUAAGGACGACAACCGAUCCUAGCUGGUUAAAGACAUAUAUAUUUUAUAAGUAACGAUCGAACAGCUCACUGAAGACUACGUUUUAGAUCACAUGCAAAAUAUUUUAUACAUAUUUUAUAAUGAUAUACAUAGUUAUAUAUAUGCCAUAUAAUUCCAUUUUUAUGCUAGGAUGGAAUUCAUAUGAGUAUAUUAUAUUACUUUUCUUUUUAUACAUACUUAGGGCCGAUGAGCUCAGAUGGUGACCGAUCGGACUAGGCAUAUAAGGCGUACAUGGAAUACAAAUUUCAUACAGAUCAAAUAGUUCUACAAACAGAGAACACUUCGUCGACUGCUCUGAUGGCAGGAUGCGAUCUAACAUUUUAUAUACUUCAAUUCCAAGAUGCUGCUCCACACUUUAGUCGUUUCUUCAAUACACUAUUGCUGGCUAUUGAAACUUGUUUUGUGCUUUAUUGGAUUGAGACUAAUUAGAUGUUGCUUGCAUGCACAACACUCUGGGAAGGCACGAAAGCGAAAGGCAAAUUCCUAUUGGAUGUCAACAACUUGGCCUGACCUUCAUUACUGUCGCAUUACACAGGGAAAUGAACAAUGAGUCGUCUAUUGGCUAUACUCGGCUGCGGACUUCAGAACAUUAGGUAGGAGGGGCAGAGGAAGAAGCUAGCGGAACGGAACGGAAAGAAACGAAAACGGAAAAACUAAAAUAACUGUCACUAAAUAAGCCAAUGCGCCUUAAUGGAAAUGUCAAUCGCAAGAUAAUGUUUUAUUGUCCCAUUGAAAUGAUUUCAGUUUGCAUUGUUAUCGAAGAUAUUCAAUACAAUAUGGCUGUGACUGUGACUGUCUAGUCGGAUUCGUAAUGGACUCCGAGAGUCUAAUACAAAA